rnacentral:lncRNA from 1 species
UACCAAUCUCCAAAGCCUGUUUCUGCGUCUCCGUCUUCUGCCUGUGACGUUUUUUAACUCUUUUGGCAGCUGGUCCCUCAGUGCUGAUUCCAGGACCAGGUACCUCAUUUUUCUGUGUAAUAACAUCGUCAACAAUAUUGUUUGUUUGAUUUUCAGACAAAGGGGCGGCAGAUUGAUUGGCUAGAAUAUCCUGAAUAUCCGUGUUGACCUCCAAGGGAGUUGUACCUUCAACGGAGGUACCAAUCUCCAAAGCCUGUUCCCGCAUCUUCCGCCUGUGACGUUUUUUAACUCUUUUGGCAGCUGGUCCCUCAGUGCUGAUUCCAGGAGCAGGUAUCUCAUUUUUCUGUGUAAUAACAUUGUCAACAAUAUUGUCUGUUUGAUUUUCAGACAAAGGGGCGGCAGAUUGAGUGGCUAGAAUAUCCUGAGUAUCCAUGUUGACCUCCAAGGGAGUUGUAUCUACCUCCAAGGGAGUUGUACCUUCAACCGAGGUACCAAUCUUCAAAGCCUGUUUCUGCGACUUCGUCUUCCGCCUGCGACGUUUGUCAACUCUUUUGGCAGCUGGUCCCUCAGUGCUGAUUCCAGGAUCAGGUACCUCAUUUUUCUGUGUAGUAACAUUGUCAACAAUAUUGUCUGCUUGAUUUUCAGACACAGGGGGGGCAGAUUGAUUCGGUAGAAUAUCCUGAAUAUCCAUGUUGACCUCCAAGGGAGUUGUACCUUCAACCGAGGUACCAAUCUUCAAAGCCUGUUUCUGCGACUUCGUCUUCCGCCUGCGACAUUUGUCAACUCUUUUGGCAGCUGGUCCCUCAGUGCUGAUUCUAGGAUCAGGUACCUCAUUUUUCUGUGUAAUAACAUUGUCAGCAAUAUUAUCUGUUUGAUUUUCAGACAAAGGGGCGGCAGAUUGAUUCGGUAGAAUAUCCUGAAUAU